rnacentral:rRNA from 1 species
UACGUAGGGGGCAAGCGUUGUCCGGAUUUAUUGGGCGUAAAGAGCGUGUAGGCGGUUUGGUAGGUCCGCUGUGAAAACUCGAGGCUCAACCUCGAGACGCCGGUGGAAACCAUCAGGCUAGAGUCCGGAAGAGGAGAGUGGAAUUCCUGGUGUAGCGGUGAAAUGCGCAGAUAUCAGGAGGAACACCGGUGGCGAAGGCGCCACUCUGGGCCGGUACUGACGCUGAGGAGCGAAAGCGUGGGUAGCAAACAGG